GAUGAACGCUGGCGGCGUGCCUAAUACAUGCAAGUCGAGCGAACAGACGAGGAGCUUGCUCCUCUGACGUUAGCGGCGGACGGGUGAGUAACACGUGGAUAACCUACCUAUAAGACUGGGAUAACUUCGGGAAACCGGAGCUAAUACCGGAUAAUAUAUUGAACCGCAUGGUUCAAUAGUGAAAGACGGUUUUGCUGUCACUUAUAGAUGGAUCCGCGCCGCAUUAGCUAGUUGGUAAGGUAACGGCUUACCAAGGCAACGAUGCGUAGCCGACCUGAGAGGGUGAUCGGCCACACGGGAACUGAGACACGGUCCAGACUCCUACGGGAGGCAGCAGUAGGGAAUCUUCCGCAAUGGGCGAAAGCCUGACGGAGCAACGCCGCGUGAGUGAUGAAGGUCUUCGGAGCGUAAAACUCUGUUAUUAGGGAAGAACAAAUGUGUAAGUAACUAUGCACGUCUUGACGGUACCUAAUCAGAAAGCCACGGCUAACUACGUG
rnacentral:rRNA from 1 species